rnacentral:rRNA from 1 species
UACGAAGGGGGCUAGCGUUGCUCGGAAUUACUGGGCGUAAAGCGCACGCAGGCGGUUUGCCAAGUUUGGAGUGACAGUUGUUGGCUCAACCGACAAAGGACUUCAAAAACUGGUGAACUUGAGGACGAGAGAGGAACAUGGAACUCCAGGUGUAGUAGUGAAAUGCGUAGAUAUCUGGAAGAACACCAAUGGCGAAGGCAAUGUUCUGGCUCGUUUCUGACGCUCAGGUGCGAAAGCCAGGGGAGCGAACGGG